rnacentral:rRNA from 1 species
CAUGCAGUCGGAUGUGCCCUGCAAGGGGUGCAUGGCAGACGGGUGAGUAACGCGUGGGGAACCUACCUUUUCGUGGGGAAUAACGAUCCGAAAGGAUUGGUAAUACCGCAUGAGACCGAUGGCUGGGAUGCUGUCGGUGAAAGCCGGGGAUCGAAAGACCUGGCGCGAGAAGAGGGUCCUGCGUCUGAUUAGCUAGUUGGUGGGGUAAUGGCCUACCAAGGCGACGAUCAGUAGCCGGCCUGAGGGGGUGAUCGGCCACACUGGAACUGAGACACGGUCCAGACUCCUACGGGAGGCAGCAGUGGGGAAUUUUGCGCAAUGGGCGAAAGCCUGACGCAGCAACGCCGCGUGGGUGAUGAAGGUCUUCGGAUUGUAAAACCCUGUCGUCGGGGACGAGGGUGGGGGCGUUAAUAGCGCCUUUGCUUGACGGUACCCGGAGAGGAAGCCCCGGCUAACUCUGUGCCAGA